rnacentral:lncRNA from 1 species
UUAAUGAUCAAAUUGCUGCUGUCACUAUUCCCGUCAGCAACUACGACGUGGAUGAUGAUUUGAGGGGUAUCAUAAUCAAUGGACAGCCUCUUGCUACAUAGACUGUUAAUGUCAGAACAACCCGUACUCCGGUUCGCCAUCGUGGCUCUUCAAGUUCGUUGAAUUCUAAGAAGCCAUUCUCUGGGGCACCCAAAAGGGGAGAGAGUGAAACAAAUG